rnacentral:siRNA from 1 species
GAAAAUCCUAGAAUUGACGGUU